CCAUGAACAACGCAAAAAAUAAUCCAACAUUCUACCAAAAAGCGUUCCUACAAAGGCAACUCUCUCUAAACCGUUUUUUGCCCAUGAGGUAUGGAAAUCGUCUAUUAGAAUGGAGAGUAAUUGAAAGGAAAAAUUACCUUUUUUGGUUCUUUCUUUCUUUUUUUCUCGUCGGUCUUGGGUGCAGUGUCAUUCCUUUCUCCGCGUUCCCUCUCUCUCCAGAGUAAAAGAGCGCGGAGGUAGCCUCUGAGUGGGAUUGCAAUGAUUGGCGGGACAU
rnacentral:sRNA from 1 species